rnacentral:rRNA from 2 species
GACGAACGCUGGCGGCGUGCCUAAUACAUGCAAGUCGAACGAACUCUGGUAUUGAUUGGUGCUUGCAUCAUGAUUUACAUUUGAGUGAGUGGCGAACUGGUGAGUAACACGUGGGAAACCUGCCCAGAAGCGGGGGAUAACACCUGGAAACAGAUGCUAAUACCGCAUAACAACUUGGACCGCAUGGUCCGAGUUUGAAAGAUGGCUUCGGCUAUCACUUUUGGAUGGUCCCGCGGCGUAUUAGCUAGAUGGUGAGGUAACGGCUCACCAUGGCAAUGAUACGUAGCCGACCUGAGAGGGUAAUCGGCCACAUUGGGACUGAGACACGGCCCAAACUCCUACGGGAGGCAGCAGUAGGGAAUCUUCCACAAUGGACGAAAGUCUGAUGGAGCAACGCCGCGUGAGUGAAGAAGGGUUUCGGCUCGUAAAACUCUGUUGUUAAAGAAGAACAUAUCUGAGAGUAACUGUUCAGGUAUUGACGGUAUUUAACCAGAAAGCCACGGCUAACUACGUGCCAGCAGCCGCGGUAAUACGUAGGUGGCAAGCGUUGUCCGGAUUUAUUGGGCGUAAAGCGAGCGCAGGCGGUUUUUUAAGUCUGAUGUGAAAGCCUUCGGCUCAACCGAAGAAGUGCAUCGGAAACUGGGAAACUUGAGUGCAGAAGAGGACAGUGGAACUCCAUGUGUAGCGGUGAAUGCGUAGAUAUAUGGAAGAACACCAGUGGCGAAGGCGGCUGUCUGGUCUGUAACUGACGCUGAGGCUCGAAAGUAUGGGUAGCAAACAGGAUUAGAUACCCUGGUAGUCCAUACCGUAAACGAUGAAUGCUAAGUGUUGGAGGGUUUCCGCCCUUCAGUGCUGCAGCUAACGCAUUAAGCAUUCCGCCUGGGGAGUACGGCCGCAAGGCUGAAACUCAAAGGAAUUGACGGGGGCCCGCACAAGCGGUGGAGCAUGUGGUUUAAUUCGAAGCUACGCGAAGAACCUUACCAGGUCUUGACAUACUAUGCAAAUCUAAGAGAUUAGACGUUCCCUUCGGGGACAUGGAUACAGGUGGUGCAUGGUUGUCGUCAGCUCGUGUCGUGAGAUGUUGGGUUAAGUCCCGCAACGAGCGCAACCCUUAUUAUCAGUUGCCAGCAUUAAGUUGGGCACUCUGGUGAGACUGCCGGUGACAAACCGGAGGAAGGUGGGGAUGACGUCAAAUCAUCAUGCCCCUUAUGACCUGGGCUACACACGUGCUACAAUGGAUGGUACAACGAGUUGCGAACUCGCGAGAGUAAGCUAAUCUCUUAAAGCCAUUCUCAGUUCGGAUUGUAGGCUGCAACUCGCCUACAUGAAGUCGGAAUCGCUAGUAAUCGCGGAUCAGCAUGCCGCGGUGAAUACGUUCCCGGGCCUUGUACACACCGCCCGUCACACCAUGAGAGUUUGUAACACCCAAAGUCGGUGGGGUAACCUUUUAGGAACCAGCCGCCUAAGGUGGGACAGAUGAUUAGGGUG